ACACGUAAACAACCUGCCUUCAGGAUGGGGACAACAGACGGAAACGACUGCUAAUACCGAAUAAGUUCCAAGAGCCGCAUGGCCCAUGGAAGAAAAGGUGGCCUCUACCUGUAAGCUAUCGCCUGAAGAGGGGUUUGCGUCUGAUUAGCUGGUUGGAGGGGUAACGGCCCACCAAGGCGACGAUCAGUAGCCGGUCUGAGAGGAUGAACGGCCACACUGGAACUGAGACACGGUCCAAACUCCUACGGGAGGCAGCAUG
rnacentral:rRNA from 1 species